UGGGAUGUAACUCAGUGGUAGAGUGCUUGCUUAGCAUGCACGAUGUCCUGGGUUUGAUCUCUAGCAACACAC
rnacentral:tRNA from 1 species